AAAAUAUGUAAAAACCGAAGAGAAUAUUGAGAAAUUUUCCUUGUAUUUCUUCACUGUAAGACAACAUAUAUAUACAACAACGCAGAGAAAGAAAAUAACAAACUAUACAGCUGGCUAAAUGUUAUUUGUCUGAGUAACAUCAUAUAAUAACUAAUCCUAUAUAUUGUACAAAGAAUCCUAUGCAUGUGUAAGGCUAGGAUUUAUGCCUACACUUUUCGAUCCAAGGGUUGAGAUGAUGUCAUCUGUCCUUCUAAAAGAUAUACAUCUUCUUGUCUUUAUUUCACUUGAAACUUAUUCCACCGCCUCUCCAUUCUUCUUGAACAUCAUUCCUUGUUUGUUCUUUAUCAACAAUGUUAGUGCUAAACUCAACAUCCCCUUCAAGUUGGAGAGGACCAAAGAGAGACCCAACUUGCAAAGACAACGAGAGUGAGAAGGAGUAGACAAGGGUUAAGUAAAAAUGUCGGCGAGCUGAGAAGAUGAAGGGAAAAAGUUUAAGAAAAAUCAAGCCGACGGAGAACUUUUGACGGAUGAAGUGACAGUCAAGUUCGACAUGUUUGGUCUGUUUGUGGAAAACAGGAUUGCGGGCGAUGUGAAUGACAGGUGAGACAGAAAGAUCCGAGAGAAGACGGUGAAGCCAGGUCAAUUCGGUGACAAGUCGCAGAAUUGAAUGGUAUUCUGCUUCGCUAAGGACAAAGAGACAGAGAUUUGAUUUUUAGACUUCCAGGAGAUGGGAGAACCCCCCAAUGCUGAUGAAGAAACCACUUAUAGAGCGACGAGUGUCAAUACAAGAUGCCCAAUAGGCAUCACAAAGGCAAGAAGAGGAAGGAUUUGAAGAUAAGAUCAUACCUUGAGCAAGGGAUCGAUGGAGAUAGUGAACAACACGAAGGGCAGCAGUGAAAUGAGGAAGACAAUGAAGCUGAAAAAAUUGGAAAAGAUGUUGAACAAUGAAACAAAGGUAUGGUCGAGUAUGGGUCAAAUAAUUCAAUUUACCCACAAGUCGUGUGCAAGUAAAAGGGUCAGCAAUGGGUUCACCAGAAUCAGAAGAUAGCUUACAAAAAGAAUCCUAAGGAGAAGAAGCAGCACGAAGGUAGUCACAGUCAUAUUCAGAUAGCAAAUCAAGGGUGAACUUUCAUUGACAGGGGAUGAUAUCUUGAGGUUCCUGAAGAACCUCCAAUCCAAGGAAAUAAUAUUGUUAUGAUCCUCAAAGAUCGACCUUCUUGGUUCUAAAAAAUUGAAGUUUACACAAUGUGUUCUGCAGUAAAUGGUGGUAGUACAAUUGACACAUGAGGUGAGUAACUUCUCUUCAAUUGGAUUAGCUUCAACAUUGAUGAGAUCAAUUAAAUCAUUUCUUUCAGAUUUUUUGGACGCUCAUAUACACAACAAUUCUAGACAAUGGUAGCAUAUUGUGAUAUCUAAUCCUUAACAUUAGAGUGAGCUUGUGUUAGUGACUUGACCAAUUUUAUAAAUUGUUCUCAGCCCUUCCAACUUUGAAUUGUAAUAUAUUUGGGUCAUGUUUAAUUAAAUGUUGCAUUUUAAUUUCCACAUACACCUUUAAGGAUCUUGCUACUUCACUAUGAUAUAUACUUUCCUCCAUUGUUUGUCAUUCUUAA